AACGAACGCUGGCGGCGCGCCUAAUACAUGCAAGUCGAGCGAGAAGACGUAGCAAUACGUUUGUAAAGCGGCGAACGGGUGAGGAAUGCAUGGGUAACCUACCCUCGAGUGGGGGAAUAACUAGCCGAAAGGUUAGCUAAUACCGCGUACGCUCCUUGGACUUCGGUUCAGGGAGGAAAGCGAUACCGUGGGUAGUCGCGCUCUUGG
rnacentral:rRNA from 1 species